rnacentral:rRNA from 1 species
GGAUGCGAUCAUACCAGCACUAAAGAAUCGGAUCCUACCAGAACUCUGAAGUUAAGCGUAAUUGGGCGAGAGUAGUACUAGGAUGGGUGACCUCUUGGGAAGUCCUCGUGUUGCAUUCC